ensembl:lncRNA
GUGUAUUACACACUUCUGGGCAGCAUCUCCACAUCUUUCCCCUCAUUGAGAAUGAGAGGGUCUAUGAAUCUGCAUCUAGGGAAGACCAUCCUGCCUCUCAUCCAAAGAGACAACAGCCCCCUGGGACCGGAAAUACACAGCUCAUAUAAGGGCAGAGAAUAAACACUGAGUGGCCGUAGAAACCUUAUUGUUGUGUUUGUGUCCAGGUCUCCAGUCUACUAUGGAUGAGGAGAGAGAGGAUGGGGGUCCUACCUCUAAGACCACUCUGUCUGGGGAACAUGGCCGCCGGAGCAAAGCUACGAGCCCAGAGCAGCAGCAGAGAGCAGACUCCCCUGGACCCAGCUGUGUCUCCAUGAAGAGUGACCACUCUAUGGGUCUACCUGUUAGGUUUAACGAUGGAAAUCAACCUAUUGAGAAGAGCCCAGAGCAGCAGCAGAGAGCAGACUCCCCUGGACCCAGCUGUGUCUCCAUGAAGAGUGACCACUCUAUGGGUCUACCUGUUAGGUUUAACGAUGGAAAUCA